UCAACAUGACCCCUGAACGAGGUAUUAUUAAUCAUCUCCAGCAUUCCACGUAUCCAUGCUGCAUGCUAAACCAUUCUAGAACAUAUAGAAAUACAUUCCAAAAUGUCCACUAAGGAAACUUUCCUUGAAUUUGAAGCUGACAACUUCCCACGGUCACAAAUGCCCCUAAUGCCUUCCAUUACUCCUUGCUGGGCUGGAGCCCUGCUUGGGAUCAUUUCAGGAGUAACAAGCACCAGGAGCCCAAGGAAGCCUCGGUGUACCCCAUGGGUACAUGGUGCCUGCUCUGGAACAGGGCCAGCUUCCUUUGUAGCUAAGUGCAGCCACGUUCUGGCCAAUGGAAAACGACUGGUGGAGCUGGGUAAACUUACAGAUCACAUCAUUUAAAGAAACUGCCUCUACCUCCCCUCUCCCCUGCUGUGGGCUGCAAAGGGAAUGGAGAGUCAGCUUCGGCCCUGAAGCAACACCCCAGCGUGAGGCACAGCAACAAAGCAGAAGGAAUCUGGGUCUCUGGACAACCUCAUGGGGCAGAGCUACCCUGGACCACCUCCUCUGGACUCUCACAGAAGAGAAAAACACCCUUGUAGCUUGUUUACUGCCUUCCAGGACUUCUGUUCCAGCACCUUCACCUAUACCCCGACUAGUACGCUCUUCAACCUUUGCAGUCACUUUGCACAACAGGGACCUCGAUGCCUGAACUUUCAUCAGGGCCAACUCAUGCACCAGGGACAGGAGGGACAGUCGGGUCUGGCACUGAUCACUCACCAAUCGUGGAGACAGCAGUGAAGAAACAGUCCUAGGAGAGCCCCAAGAGCCUGCGGAGAAGGGACCCAGCCACUCUCUGGACUGCGGAAUGUGUCGUCACCUGCCUGACCCCUCACACCUGGCUUCACCUGUGCGUGCCACCCCUCGUCACGAAACCGACAGUGAGCGCCAGUCAGCCAGUCAUAACGGCACAGACUUUCUCCUGGUUUUGACUCCCUGGACUCAGGAGAGACGCACAUUUCCCCGAGGAGCUUGCUGAGCGGUGACGGAGAGAGAAAGCCACGAUGAUGCUGAAACACCCUGAGACGGCUCCGACUGGCUCGAGAGGGCAGCUGCCGGAAAGCCCCCCACUCACUGCCUGCCUCUGCUUUGCCGCGACGAUUAGAACGGCUCCUCUUAUCACCACCCUCUGCGCCCCGUGACUCUUUUUCUCCCACGUAUUUCUUUUUUUUUUUUUUGAGAUAAAGUU
rnacentral:lncRNA from 1 species